AUUUGACCUCAAAUCAGGUAGGAACACCCGCUGAACUUAAGCAUAUCAAUAAGCGGAGGAAAAGAAAAUAACAAUGAUUCCCCUAGUAACUGCGAGUGAAGAGGGACAAGCUCAAAUUUUAAAUCCAUCGGGGUUUACCCGAUCGAGUUGUAAUUUGAAGAGGCGUUUUCUGUGUUUCUGAUCAGUCCAAGUCCUUUGGGAUAAGGCAUCAUGGAGGGUGAGAAUCCCGUCCGGUUGAUCAGAUUCGCUUUACGAUACGCUUUCUAAGAGUCAAGUUGUUUGGGAUUGCAGCUUAAAAUGGGAGGUAAAUUUCUCCUAAGGCUAAAUAACGGCGAGAGACCGAUAGCGAACAAGUACCGUGAGGGAAAGAUGAAAAGAACUUUGAAAAGAGAGUUAAACAGUACGUGAAAUUGUUGAAAGGGAAACGAUUGAAGCCAGUCGUACCUUCGGGUAAUCAGCCUUUCGGGUGCGAUUAUGUGGAGUGUGAGGAGCUUAAACACCUUCAUGUUUUGCAUAUUCGUACUCUUGGGUGUACUUGCCCGUGUGGUUGGUUAACAUCAAUUUUGGUGGUCAUAAAAUGACUGGAGGAAUGUAGCUUCGAUCUCGUAUUGAAGUGUUAUAGCCUUCGGUAGAUGUGAUGAUCGAGAUUGAGGAUUGCAACGGAUACCCUUCGGGGCUACCUGUCUGAUCUCUGAUCGUUGCUCUGGUGCCGAAAGCUUGCUUACGGUUAUCAAAGUCGAUGGUCAAUAGGUUAGAACGGGUUAAGUUCGUUAAGGAUGUUGACGUAAUGGCUUUAAACGACCCGUCUUGAAACACGGACCA
rnacentral:rRNA from 1 species